UAGACAAAAGACAGUUCAUAUUAAAACAACUAGAUAAACAAGACAAACCAAAUGAUUUCUGUCCUUAUGUUUUUGGUUGGGGCGACCGCGGGGGAACAAAAAUCCCCCAUGUGGAAUAGGAACUUUUCCUCAAAACCAGAGCCACAGCUCUAACAAGCAGAAUUUCUGACCAACAAGACCCGGCAAAGCCGAUCAACGGACUGAGUUACCCUAGGGAUAACAGCGCAAUCCCCUUUUAGAGCCCAUAUCGACAAGGGGGUUUACGACCUCGAUGUUGGAUCAGGACAUCCUAAUGGUGCAGCCGCUAUUAAG
rnacentral:rRNA from 1 species